GCAGUCCAGCCGCUACAAGUCGAAAGUUGUGCUUGGUAAUAGCGCCAUUGGCACGAUGCGGUCGAUAUAUGACAUGUCAGACCGCAAUAGCGGUCCUUUGUGUAGCGCUGGUUGAGGUCAUAGCGGAAAGCUUAAAAAAUUUAGACCACAAAUCCUCUUAUCCCAUCCCCUUCUCCUGGCGAUGGGCGGCAGUGCGGCUAACGCCAGAGGCCGGACGGAGAGGCAAAUCAAGGCACACCAUCACUAGAUGCCGCCAUUCCCCUAGGCCCAUCUUCCCCUGCCGGACUUUGAGCGAGCAGCCAGCACAACGGCCACCUCCUCGCUCCUGCUCGACGCCCUUCCAUGGUUGACGAUGAGCUAGUGCGGGAUGACACGGUGAGCCGGCAGGUAGUACAUCACUGGGACAGCGGUACUCAAGCUCAAUGCCCAUGUCCCCUCGAUGGUCCCUGCUCGACGUCGUACUGGUAGACGUCCCUAUCCAUAAGGUCUGCACCUCCUCACUUGGCGACCUCUUCAGUCGGGCUGCUAACCUUUUCUCUGGUCUUUGUUUCUACUGAUCGUUCAUAGUACAUCCGAUAGCUCAGCUUUUCUCCGAUCAAUGCACUUACUGUAGUAGGCUUAGUCCAUUCGAUGCACUUACCUUUUCUCUGAUCGAUGCACUUACAGAGUUACAGUUAGUCUAUUCGAUGCAUAACUUAGUACUAGUAGUCAGUACUUAAUAGAAAAAAUUCCUCAUGGUAGCAGUAGCACUUGCAGUUACAGUAGACAAAAUUAGGAGGAGCUCAGAUUGUAGAAUAGUUCAUAAUCUCGUUGGUGGCACUAGCACAAGAAGAAACUUACAUUCCUAUCUGCAUUCGAUAGCUCAGCUCACAGAACAAUACAUAGUUAUUAUACAGUUGUGCCUCAUGUUCCAUUUCUGUUUUAUAUAGCUAACAAAACUUGCACAGUAUUGUCUUUGUAAAUUAUGUUUAGUCGUAAUUUUGUUUUGUACUGGGCUACUCGCAGUUGUAAAUUCAUUUUGCUUGCAAUUUCUUUUGUACUGUAUCAACAAAUUCAGUUUACUGGCAAACAAAUCAACUAUCUGCACUUGUAAUUUAGUCAAAUACCACAAGUUUGUUUCUUUUUUCUGCAGUGGUAAUUCAGUCAACUAUCUCCACUUGUAAUUAAGAAGACCAAGAAGUGGACAUGGAUCUGAAUGGAGAAGAGGAUGAGGAUGGCGAAUGACUUGUGCUUCUUCCAUGAUCAGAACUAGAUCCGUUUAUUAUUGUGUGAUGGUCAUGGUCUGACUUGUAUGAUUGGUUGGUAGUUUUUGUUUGCAUGGUUACAUGGUUGAAUAUUGUACAGAUGGACCAGUUGUAGUCUAUAUAUGUUGUGUCAUCCUAAUAGUUUUUGUUUGCAUGGUUGAAUAUUGUCUGGAUGGACUAGUUACAGUCUAUAUGAUUAUGCUUAUAUAAGUGAUGAUUGUUCAAUUAAAGUGUCAUAUUGUUGUCAA
rnacentral:lncRNA from 1 species